GGGAUUUUGGCAUGGGGGCAACCCUGNUCCAGCAAUGCCGCGUGAGUGAAGAAGGCCUUCGGGUUGUAAAGCUCUUUUGUCGGGGAAGAAACGGUGGCCUCUAAUAUAGGUUGCUAAUGACGGUACCUGAAGAAUAAGCACCGGCUAACUACGUGCCAGCAGCCGCGGUAAUACGUAGGGUGCAAGCGUUAAUCGGAAUUACUGGGCGUAAAGCGUGCGCAGGCGGUUAUGUAAGUCAGAUGUGAAAUCCCCGGGCUUAACCUGGGAAUGGCAUUUGAGACUGCAUGGCUAGAGUGUGUCAGAGGGGGGUAGAAUUCCACGUGUAGCAGUGAAAUGCGUAGAGAUGUGGAGGAAUACCGAUGGCGAAGGCAGCCCCCUGGGAUAACACUGACGCUCAUGCACGAAAGCGUGGGGAGCAAACAGGAUUAGAUACCCUGGUAGUCCACGCCCUAAACGAUGUCUACUAGUUGUCGGGUCUUAAUUGACUUGGUAACGCAGCUAACGCGUGAAGUAGACCGCCUGGGGAGUACGGUCGCAAGAUUAAAACUCAAAAAAAUUGACGGA
rnacentral:rRNA from 1 species